rnacentral:lncRNA from 1 species
CAGAUUUUGAUGGAUGUACAUUGAUGGAUAGCCACGUGGAUCCAGAAAAUAAAGACUUCUACUCUGCAUUUGACUAAAGCAGAAGAUAUGCAAGGAAGCUCAGUCUCUCAAUUGAGUGGAUUCUGAAAUUUAUCCUGUUGUCUUCAGCUACUAAGGCUAAUUUGCAAAUCACACUGUGCACGGGGUGAAAUAGGAGCACUUAGGAAGCACUGCAAUGAAUUUACUGCUUAUUCAGCAUAUUGAUAGAGUCUUCUCUAAAACAACAAAAAGUGUUGACAGCAAACUGAAGAUCUUAAAGAAACAACCUGUUCAGUGGCUGCUGAUUAACUCCCCAAGAUUGAUGUACUGAAGAAGGAUGACCUCCCCUUGACACCAAUGCUACUAGUCAAUAACGACCACUGUGACUCAGAACAAAUUCUCUGGGGGCAGGCAGUGAAGCUUCUUCUCUUGUUGACCUUACCAGACCACAAGGCUGAAAAUAUUCUGUGGCCUGAUGCCCUUAAAUUGAUCAUAUUAAUACAAUCAAGCAGAAAAGAAA